rnacentral:misc_RNA from 1 species
GAUGAAGAACGCAGCGAAAUGCGAUAAGUAAUGUGAAUUGCAGAAUUCAGUGAAUCAUCGAAUCUUUGAACGCACAUUGCGCCCCCUGGUAUUCCGGGGGGCAUGCCUGUCCGAGCGUCAUUACAACCCUCAAGCUCAGCUUGGUGUUGGGCCCCGCCGCCCCGGCGGGCCCUAAAGUCAGUGGCGGUGCCGUCCGGCUCCGAGCGUAGUAAUUCUUCUCGCUCUGGAGGUCCGGUCGUGUGCUCGCCAGCAACCCCCAAUUUUUUUCAGGUUGACCUCGGAUCAGGUAGGGAUACCCGCUGAACUUAAGCAUAUCAAUAGCGGAGGA